UCGAUGAAGAACGCAGCGAAAUGCGAUAAGUAAUGUGAAUUGCAGAUUUUCAGUGAGUCAUCGAAUCUUUGAACGCAUAUUGCGCCCUUUGGUAUUCCGAAGGGCAUGCCUGUUCGAGCGUCAUUAUCAACCAUCAAGCCUGGCUUGUCGUUGGACCCUUUUUACCGCUGAAAUAUGUGGUAGGUCCGAAAGAUAAUGACGGCGUCGUGUUUGACCCUAGAUGCAACGAGCUUUUAUAGCACGCAUUGAAGUGGUCGACCGACCCGGUCUUUAACCAUCAUUUUCUAAGGUUGACCUCGGAUCAGGUAGGAAUACCCGCUGAACUUAA
rnacentral:rRNA from 1 species